AUUGAACGCUGGCGGCAGGCCUAACACAUGCAAGUCGAGCGGAUGAAGGGAGCUUGCUCCUGGAUUCAGCGGAGGACGGGUGAGUAAUGCCUAGGAACCUGCCUGGUAGUGGGGGAUAACGUCCGGAAACGGGCGCUAAUACCGCAUACGUCCUGAGGGAGAAAGUGGGGGAUCUUCGGACCUCACGCUAUCAGAUGAGCCUAGGUCGGAUUAGCUAGUUGGUGGGGUAAAGGCCUACCAAGGCGACGAUCCGUAACUGGUCUGAGAGGAUGAUCAGUCACACUGGAACUGAGACACGGUCCAGACUCCUACGGGAGGCAGCAGUGGGGAAUAUUGGACAAUGGGCGAAAGCCUGAUCCAGCCAUGCCGCGUGGGUGAAGAAGGUCUUCGGAUUGUAAAGCACUUUAAGUUGGGAAGAAGGGCAGUAAGUUAAUACCUUGCUGUUUUGACGUUACCAACAGAAUAAGCACCGGCUAACUUCGUG
rnacentral:rRNA from 1 species